UUCUGUGGCUCAGUCAGUAGAGCAUUGAGCUAACAAUGCAAAGGUCAUGGGUUCAAACCCAGGGAAA
rnacentral:tRNA from 1 species